rnacentral:tRNA from 1 species
CAGAGUGUAGUUUAAAUAAAAUUUUAGUUUUGGAGACUAGGGACGGGAAUCAGUUCUCCCUUCUGA